CAACUGGUACUUAUUUAAUCGACCCCGAAAGGAUGAAAGGCAAAGUUGACCUCGGCGGAAUUUGAACUCAGAACGUAGCGGCAGACGAAAUACCACAAAGCAUUUCGCCAGGCGCGCAAACUAUUCUGCCGUGAAGGAUCCCGCCUAAAAUCAUCGUACCUUUUUUAGCCCUUCCUAACAGCAGAGAAAUAUCUAAAGAUCCUCGUUAUUCUGCCACACCCAGAAUCCACAAAGUUUUCCUUUUAGCCUCACUCAUACUCACUCGAGUUCGUUCUCCCUUAUUUACGUCCCCUGAUUCGCUCUUUAAUCAUUCUCCCAGUUUUUUCCGUUGAGACGUUGGACAAUUUGAAACCCGCCGAAAAACUUCUGCACCUCUAAAGAAACUGCCGGUGACCUGCUCUUUCUGACCCUGAAAGAUUUCCUCAACCAAAUCGCUGUACCUGAUGUGAAAGACCAAAAUGCCGAUAGUUGUCUUUCUGUGUGAUAAUGGGACCUUCCAGAAAGCAGCAGAUAGUUCUGUCUUGUCUCAUAUGUAAAACUAAACGGUCUGGUUUCAAAUUUCA